GUGCCAGCAGCCGCGGUAAUACGUAGGGUGCGAGCGUUGUCCGGAAUUACUGGGCGUAAAGGGCUCGUAGGUGGUGUGUCGCGUCGUCUGUGAAAUUCCGGGGCUUAACUCCGGGCGUGCAGGCGAUACGGGCAUGCUUGAGUGCUGUAGGGGUAGCUGGAAUGCCUGGUGUAGCGGUGAAAUGCGCAGAUAUCAGGAGGAACACCGAUGGCGAAGGCAGGUCUCUGGGCAGUUACUGACGCUGAGGAGCGAAAGCAUGGGUAGCGAACAGGAUUAGAUACCCUGGUAGUCCAUGCCGUAAACGGUGGGCGCUAGGUGUAGGGGGCUUCCACGUCUUCUGUGCCGUAGCUAACGCAUUAAGCGCCCCGCCUAGGGAGUACGGCCGCAAGGCUAAAACUCAAAGGAAUUGACGGGGGCCCGCACAAGCGGCGGAGCAUGUGGAUUAAUUCGAUGCAACGCGAAGAACCUUACCUGGGCUUGACAUACACCAGAUCGCUGCAGAGAUGUAGUUUCCCUUGUGGUUGGUGUACAGGUGGUGCAUGGUUGUCGUCAGCUCGUGUCGUGAGAUGUUGGGUUAAGUCCCGCAACGAGCGCAACCCUUGUCUUAUGUUGCCAGCAUUUGGUUGGGGACUCAUGAGAGACUGCCGGGGUUAACUCGGAGGAAGGUGGGGAUGACGUCAAAUCAUCAUGCCCCUUAUGUCCAGGGCUUCACACAUGCUACAAUGGUCGGUACAACGCGCAGCGACACUGUGAGGUGGAGCGAAUCGCUGAAAGCCGGCCUUAGUUCGGAUUGGGGUCUGCAACUCGACCCCAUGAAGUCGGAGUCGCUAGUAAUCGCAGAUCAGCAAUGCUGCGGUGAAUACGUUCCCGGGCCUUGUACACACCGCCCGUCACGUCAUGAAAGUUGGUAACACCCGAAGCCGGUGGCCCAAACUUGUUAGGGAGCCGUCGAAGGUGGGAUCGGCGAUUGGGACGAAGUCGUAACAAGGUA
rnacentral:rRNA from 1 species